rnacentral:piRNA from 1 species
UUAUGAUAGGAUGGUCUGCCAGGAUUUC